AUCCAAAUGACGAGUUGCAAGUAGGACGAAACGCGUGUCCUGGAU
rnacentral:hammerhead_ribozyme from 1 species